rnacentral:rRNA from 1 species
UGUAGUCAUAUGCUUGUCUCAAAGAUUAAGCCAUGCAUGUCUAAGUAUAAGCAAUUAUACGGCGAAACUGCGAAUGGCUCAUUAAAUCAGUUAUCGUUUAUUUGAUAGUACCUUGCUACAUGGAUAACCGUGGUAAUUCUAGAGCUAAUACAUGCUAAAAAUCCCGACUUCGGAAGGGAUGUAUUUAUUAGAUUAAAAACCAAUGCCCUUCGGGGCUCUCUGGUGAUUCAUAAUAACUUCUCGAAUCGCACGGCCUUGCGCCGGCGAUGGUUCAUUCAAAUUUCUGCCCUAUCAACUUUCGACGGCUGGGUCUUGGCCAGCCAUGGUGACAACGGGUAACGGAGGGUUAGGGCUCGACCCCGGAGAAGGAGCCUGAGAAACGGCUACUACAUCCAGGGAAGGCAGCAGGCGCGCAAAUUACCCAAUCCCGACUCGGGGAGGUAGUGACAAUAAAUACUGAUACAGGGCUCUUUUGGGUCUUGUAAUUGGAAUGAGUACAAUUUAAAUCCCUUAACGAGGAACAAUUGGAGGGCAAGUCUGGUAAUCG